UACGUAGGCAGCGAGCGUUGUUCGGAGUUACUGGGCGUAAAGAGUGCGUAGGCGGUUUUCUAAGUUUGGUGUGAAAUCUCCCGGCUUAACUGGGAGGGUGCGCCGAAGACUGGAAGGCUUGAGUAUGAGAGAGGUAAGCGGAAUUCCUGGUGUAGCGGUGAAAUGCGUAGAUAUCAGGAGGAACACCUGCGGUGUAGACGGCUUACUGGACCAUCACUGACGCUGAGGCACGAAAGCGUGGGUAGCAAACAGG
rnacentral:rRNA from 1 species